AAUUGCUCCUUUGGUCAACGUGACCCGUAUUACUUCAUUUGUCGAUCGACAGUUCGCGAGGUGACACACGAAAAUGCAAUCAGUCAUUUAUUUCCACUUGGCAUAGUCUACCUUCAUUGGAAGAAUAGAGCAACGAAAAGCAGCCAUACUGCCCCGACGAACUCGAGGAUUUUCCACGUUGACCUCGAAUGGCGUCCAAAUUACUUUUGGCACCAAAAAGUAAAUUUCCCGAGACUAGUCCUGCAUGGACGCGCACAGGAGUGGAGAGGAUGCGAACAAUGAAAUUGGCUGCCAAAAGCCUGUAGGGGGCAGCGUGAACGUCUGGUCGGAACUGCUCCGGCCGGAAGUUGACACUGCAGACGUAGAAGAUGAUUCGACUGUAUUCCACAUGCCUCUGCCUGUCGCGUUGCUGCCUAAACUUUGGUGAUAACUUUGCAACCGCCGCUGUUUCAAAGUUCAGUCUUCAACUUAUUGCUUCUAAUUGUAUUAUUGUCUAAAUAAUGCAGCCUAUUUAGAAUAGACGGCAGCACAAUCGGA
rnacentral:lncRNA from 1 species